rnacentral:lncRNA from 1 species
UUUUUUAGGUUGGAGACGAGUAUCCAGAUAGUCAAAUUAUACAUCACGUAUCCAAAUACUCGGGGUAAAGAGGGGCAUACACCUAACUAUUACUUUUUCAUCCAAUUUUUUUUGUGAGAAGUAAUUGAUAUGAAUUAGACUAUUUUGAAAAUGACGAGUACUCGAAUAGUCAAACUAUACAACAAGUAUUCAAGUACUCAGGGAAAGGAGAA